GGUUCUAUGGUGUAAUGGUUAGCACUCUGGACUCUGAAUCCAGCAAUCUGAGUUCAAAUCUCGGUAGGACCU
rnacentral:tRNA from 1 species